UGGACUGCGAUGCCCUGGAUGCAGCCGUGCAGGUAGGAUACAUCCAAGUUGGAUGUGGUCGUGUUGCAAGCCGUGGUGAGCAGCCAGUGCUUGCAGGCUACUCAAUACUCGUGUGAUGAACAGCCAAGGUAUAGCCUCUUACAGAUUUUAGCCCCAAACGCCUGACAUGUAUGGUGAAGUGUACAGUAAUCUGUUCAUAUCUCAUAUCUAAAGAUGGACACAGAGCAUUCCUGUAAUUACUCAAACGAAGAUGAAAGUCACCAAAUAACAAUUUUUUGGUUUGUUCUAGGUUUGCAUCUCCUUAUGUGCAUCUAUUAGACUUGAGGCAUUUCUCAAAUAAAGCUCAACGCCUAUACAUUCCUGAGAUCAUUAAACUAAGGAACCAAAUGAUGAAACUGGACUAACAUCGAGAAAAGUUUCCUGAUAGUGAAGACGAAUUCCAUGAAGCUCGAUAGUAACAUAAACAAUACUUGUCUUUAUCAGGCAACAUAAUGACAUACAAUCCAACCUCAAAAUGAGCCUACUACAAGGUUCUGAAGUUACAAGCGAAUGAGUCGCUGCAUCAAUUCUGUAUCUGUUGGUUGCUCAAGCACCUAAUUCUUCAUAUGACUUUGAUCGGUGGGUACCCUCACCAGUUUGAUUGGGUCAAAGUUCAAACAACCUACCAGGAGUCUGUCUUGAGACUUGCCAACAGUUGUAGCAGCAAGCAGGUUUAAAUCUAUUAGCCUUUCCAGAUUAACAUCUCAUGCUAUGAGAAUCACAAAAUUGAUUGUAUUCACAGUCACAAGGACCCAUCCUCACCUGUAAUUGCCACCCAGAAUAAAUGAAAUGAGUAGAACAGGAGGAGCAUUGUGGCUCUUAUGAGUGAGUAAAUCUAGAAGGCCAGUGGCAAACCCAAAAUCCAAUGAUGAAGCAAACGGAUAGCAUGCCACGCUAUUGGUAAACUGUUCGGCUAACUCAAUCAAGCAUGCCGUGAAAUGAAUAAAGGAGAACAAACCUUUCGAAAAGUAAAAGAAACCCGCCUUGAACUCCUUUUGAUGACUUGACCACCCACGUCAUCGAUCUAAAAAGAAAACAUGGCACAAACAUUAGUUUACUCUGCAGCGUUGUUAUGUAAUAUAGUUGAAUUAGUGCAUUGUUAAUAAUAUAGAGAAGAAGCAAAACAAUGCAUAGGGUUGGACAUUACGUACUUUAUGAUGCGGUAUAUAGUGAUGCCAGGCAUAUCGGCCUUCUCCUGACAUCAGUAGCAUUGAUCGAGGAGGUAGGAAAAUGGCUUUCCUUGUGCACUCUGGUUCUUGACUGAUAUCUUCAUCAGCUCUGUUGAGCACAAUUGGAGCACGCCAACUGCCUUUAGGAUAUUUCCUGAACUCCAUGAUGCAAGGUCCAGCCAAAGAAAGGCUGAAAAUCAUUUCCUCAAAUGCUGAGUGUGUGUCUAUAUGUGGAGACAAACCUACACCACAAGGAUAUUCGUUUACCUGUGAACACAUGAACAAUUUAAUGCAUUAUUUCAUUUAAAAAUCUAAUGUUGCUACUGACAGACAGCUAAGGUCUCAAAUUCAAAUUACAUCAUGGACCAAGGCAAGAAUAAGAACUCUAUACGCCACCUUCAGCAAAGGAAUAGAUAGAACAGUUGGCGUAUAUGCACUUACUGUCAAUUGAUCAACUAAUCCGGUAGUACAGUUCUUCACACCAGGAAAGGAAGCGAUCUUCUCAAGGACUAUUGAGACAAAAGCCGGUAAUUCACCCAAGAACUGCUUCGAAUCAACAUUCCUUGUCUGUAGAUAUCAAAUACACUUUUUCAUCAUAAAGUUGAGGUAGUCUUCAGCUAAAAGAAAUGGUGCAGAAGUUAUAAAGUUAAUAAAGCUUGGUCACACUACACAAACCUUUGCUAAUUGUUAUCUACAUGCACCAGAAGUGAAAUCAAACUGCAUUUUAUAUUUUUAUUACAAUGUGAAACUUCAGGACUUGAUUAGGUCCAAGAACAUUAUGAAGGAUCAUAAACUCAACACCAAUGCUACACAGCAUAAAACCUACAGGCCAAUGUGUUUCACACUUUUGAGUCUAACCUUUUUGUUGGCAGCAUAAAUGAAGAAUGAUCAUACUCUUUUAACAAAAUAAUAACAUCGGACACUUCUGGUAAUGAGUAGUCUAAUUCAAUUACCGAUGAUGUAAGAACACAAGACAGUCAAAUGGAGCAGAAAAAAUUGCAUCACCCCGAGAUACUUACAAGAUCAAACUUACAUCAUACAGAAACUCAUAACCGUAAUGCUGAACUCGUCUCUUCGCCAAAUUUUUCCAUGGCCUGCUAUCAACAGCUGCAAGUAGCUCCUGCAAAAAGAAGCAAAACACAUAGUACCACCCAGCACAGAGAAAGCAGGGCCAUUUAGCAGGCGCUCAAACUUCGACAACAAAAAGGCGUGACAGACAAUUGGCCAACCUGUUCCUCAGUGGCAGUCACGAACUCCUCAACCAUGUAAAUCCCGGGGAUCCCCAGCUCCGACGCCGAGAGAGACACUAGCAGCGAGCCACCAGGGAGAGCCUUCGGCUUCACGGGCACCGAGUACCGUAUGUGCAGCACGCGCCCCGCAAGGCGGUCGCAGGGGCGUCCGUGGAGCGCGGCCAUAGCAGCCUCCGCGGCGGCGGGCUCGUGGAACCGGACGAUGACGCGGGCGCCGCUGCUGUCGGCGGCCUGGACCUCCGCGACCUCCCCGAAGGCGCCGAACGCCGCGCGGACGGCGGCAUCGGUCACCCCAACCGCGGGUCCGCAGUUGGCCACGUACAGGACGGCGCUGGGGGGCAGAGGGGCGGUGUCCUCGGCAGGCGGGCGUGGACGUGUGUACCCAGACUUCGUCGCCAUCUCUAAGAACUUGCGGCGACGGGGCGCACGGCUUUGGCGGCGAUCCCGGCCGCCGCCGGCGAAAGGGGUGAAGCGAGCCGGCUGCGCGUUCGACAAUCCUGCGGGCCGGCGCUCGUGGAAACUGAAAACACCGUGUGCUGCGCGAUGUGGGUGGGCUCGUGGCAUAACGAUCGUUCAAUCACCAAGCAAAGCCCAAUGCGCAAUGACUGGGCCAAACUGUCAGACGUGCAAAGCCUGUCCUCGACGGAUUGCAAUUUGCAUCGCUUUGCGAGCCCACGGAAUCGUUGGUCAACAUGUUACACAGCACAUCUGAUUUCAAUGCGGAACUUCUACAUUCCAUCAAUACGAUAACAAUAAAUACAAUAAUCAGAACACGCAAAGAAUGCUAUAAUCAUCGAUCAUAUAUUGUAUAUACGGAGUCUUGUCUUAGCAAAGGAUCAGAUGGAGGAAUGGAAUCCAACAACAUCGGGAAAACAACCAACAGCUAGAAACAUCGAAACUCCAAUCUCGCAAGUACAAAUAAUUUAUGCCUGCAAUGAAUCAAUGCCAUUCCUCCGAUCCACGCUAAAAGAUGCUCCCAUAAUCUUUUCUUGCAAGAGAUGGCGGCAGCCCGCUCGAUGUAAACGAGUGCCCUCCUGUUCCACCUGCAGAUUUGAGAUUACUGUUAAUAUUCUUGAAGGACAUGAUUCUUUACUUGCUAAUAAAGAGAAAGAAGUGGACAUUAUUACCCCAGGGCACUCCUUCGCCCAUGCCGUAAGUACUGGGCCACACAGGCUGCCCACUGUGAUGGCUCCCCAUCAGCCGCAUUGGACCAGAAGUUGGCUGAUUGUAUCGCUGCUGAAGAAUUGGCUGUCCAGGACGAGGACGGAGACUUUGCUGAGGAUAACUUGGAGGGUUGUAACCGCCAUAGUUGACGGGAACACUGGAAUGAGAACUCCCUCCUUGAUAGGAGGCACGAAAUAAUUGAUCUCCUCUGUAACCAAAAAGGGUAAUGCAUAUUUGCAGUCUAACAAAGAAAAGCAAAAAGGGAGGCAAGCUCAAAAUAUUCUGACUGGUCAAGGAAAACAAGGAGCACGAAUCGGUCAGGUGGCAAUACCUUUGGUUUGUUGGUACAGGGUUAGAUGUUGCAAAGACAUGGCCUUGGAAAUUCGUUGAUCUAAUAGAUCCACUCGCUUGACGAGUUGCAUCUUCAAGGUGGAGACUGCUACUUAGAUCAGCUGACAAUGAACUAUCUUCUUGCAAUAAUGACUCGUCACUAUGAAAUGGAACAGUGGAUGUAUUAAUAUUACCUUUUGCAAGUUUACAAGAAUCAACUUGAGUAUGCUUUUCCAUACCUAUAAUUAGGGUCCCAAUCAGCAGGAUCAAGUGCUGAUGAAGCUGAUGUAUUUGGUGAGAAGUCAAAUGAGUUGGAAGGAGCCUGCGAAUGGAGGGCCUGCGAAGGCCCGUGACUAGAUGAGGCAUCCAAGGAAAAACCACUUCUUGAACUUAUUUGUGGUCUCCAACUAGAAUGACCAGAACUGGGUCCUGCAUUCUGAGAGUGGCCUGUAUGUCCUCGAACAUAACCAUCAGGAUGACUAAAACUGACACCAUCUCCGUAUCGCACUUGUCCAUGCUGAGAUACAUAAUCAUGUGGCGGCAUUGGCACGUUCCUCCUCAUGUUAUACGGGCCUGCCGUAGCAGCUUUUCCCAAUGGAGAACCAUGAAUGCUUCCACUUGCAGGAGAACCAGAACCAUGCUUCCCAGUAGAAUUAGCUGGGAUUUGCAUCUGGUAGUUUGGUGGGGUAAACUGCGAUGGACUGGCUCCCAGAGACAUAGGUCCUAGACUACCAGGGCUUAAUCUAAUACCUCUAUCAUGUGGGAGACGGGGUCUUAGUCUAAUAUCUGGACUAGAGCCAAUUUGUGUAAAUCCAGAAGAACCUAAGGGUGAGUAAUACAUAUUGCUAGUAUUAACAUCACCAAUGCUUCCAUAGCUGUUAGCAAAACCAGCAUUACCAGUAUAGCUACCAUGGCUACCGAAGCUUCCAUAACUACUCCCAUAAGAUAAGGGCAUCUUUGGAGGAUAGGCAUUAUUCAGAGGUAGGCAUCUGUUCACACUUCCAACCUAGAAAAGUUUAAAAUAUAGGGCACAAUGGUUUAGAAAAGACUCCGCAUAAUUAUUACUUCUAAAGCUCAACUCAGAAGCAGGAAAAGGGAGAAUAGCUAUCACCUGCGGGGAAAGACCUGAAUGUAGCCAGUGGCCACCUCCGGGAUUGUGAUCAAUUGCUGCAGCACGAGCAACAGGCUGAAAUACAAAUGAAAGACAACAAAUUAUGGACAGGAACUGGAGAUUGGUAUCUUGAUCAACAUGCAUGAAAAAUAGUUUUUUGGAUAAAAUUAGACGGUGUAGGUGUGCCCACCAUGCAGGGAAAAUAAUCAUGAGCAUAAUUAUAUAGAUAAAAUGCUGACAUAUUUGAUUUGUUUCUUAAAUAGUGCAUGGAUGUGAUUAAUAUGAACUUCAAAUCAAGGGGGGCUGAUCACCUUUAACUAGGGAACCCACAAUUUCUUCAUCGCAAAAUAGUUUCAAGAAACAAUGUCCAUAUGCUUCCUAUUAUUAUCAAGUUUCCAAGGUAGCUAUUUUUGCAAAGAAAAAAAAAAGAAAAUAGGGCCAUACUCACAAUUCUUGCAGUCUCAGGUACAGGCUCAUAUGGACCGGUGAACGGUUCGCCGGUUAUGAAAGGAUGAAAUAGAGCCUGAAAUUGGUUCCAGUAGCAGAAAUCAAGUUAAUUCCAGAUGACAAAAAUAAGUUAUUCAAAAUAUGAAUUACUUCAUAAUGGAAAAGUUGUAAUUGUGUAGAAAAUGUAAUACAUGCAAAAUCAAUAUAAAUUUAUAAUACCACUAGGCCAAUAGGAUGAAUUAUCUUGACAGGCCCUAAACAUGAGAAUGCAACAUGGAAUUGUGCCAGUAGCAGUAGCCAUACCUGCACCGGUGACCAUCGCUUAUUUGGAUCAAAUUCAAGAAGCCCCUUCAAGAAAUCAACUAAUGCCAAACGAUCUGUUUUUUCUGUCUCUGAAUCAAAAUGCAAGACCUGAGAACAUAAUAUCAAACUUGCAAGCUUUAUUGUAAGAACUCUCAUUUGCAUAUUGAGGAGACCAGCUCAAAAAUGUCAAACAUGAAUUCAAGCAUGCAUUUCUAACUUUAAUUAUCUUCUAUAAUCAUACAAAAGAAUGACAUGAAAGAAAAAGAUGCUUUUAGCAAAGGAAGUACACAACUUAAGAAGACACCAACAUCAUUGUUCACUAAAUAAUAGAAGAAACAUGAAUACAGCAAAGCACUAAAAUUACAGUGACUUGGCUGAAACUAACAAAGAGUAAAUAUGCUAUGCCAAGACAGCAAGGGGCCAAAAUGUAACCUAGAGACUGAAAAUAAAUAAACAAACCUGUCAGUUCUGAAUUGUUCCAAGGAUAGGUAUAAAUGAGUCUGUCAAGCUUUAGCCGUGGGAAGUACCACUUUCCUACCUUUGGCCUCUUGGAUUCUCUCUGUAUUUAGAAAAGAUAGUAAGGCAGUACAUAAUGAACAGAUAUAAAAUAAAAAGAUCCAGGGUUAUUUUAGGUGAAAUCACGAGACACUUACAGCUUCAACCUCUUCUUCACUUAAAAAUCUGUAUGCACUAGAAAUACCAUCAUGUGCCUCACUGCCAGGAAAAAUACUACCGACAUGCUUAAAAAAUCUUCCAGUGUUUUUAGCUUCUCUUAGCAGGUCAUCUGGUGGUUGCCCCCUAAAAAUAUGCCACCAGGUGAUUUAAAUUCGUAGCUGAACAUCGGACCUAAAUAAUGACAUUUGACUACAUGGGACUCAAUAAAACUUUAACAUGCAGCCAUGUUGCGUGCAAAAUGCAGAGUUGGGUGAGAAAACUAUAGAUAAAGAAACUUGCCCAAGAAUCGUAGUCAUUCGCUGAAGCACGUCAUAUUCUGACGCUCCAGGAAAUAGUGGCAAACCAAUAAAUAGUUCAGCAACUAUGCAACCGAAAGACCACAUGUCAAUCGCAGUUGUAUAUCUGGUAAGUGUUAAGGUUCAGGCAAGCUACUUGAAAAUGAACCAAGGAACAUGCCUUAAAGGAAGCAUUUCAUUGAAAAAGUAUAUUAGAAUUAACAAAAGUCACCAAGAAGCUUAAAGUGAAUGAAAUGAAACAACUUCCCAUGCUAUAUAGGAUACGGAUAGCCAAGGAGAACCUCCGGAGACCUGUAAUAGCGGCUCUAAAAAAAUGGAAGAAAAGAACCAAUGUCUUAUUUUUCAAUUAACCAACAAUUACUUAAAUAAGAAAUUAAGAAAUGAUGUCACAGAAGUUCCAAAAAGAAAACCUGGAUAUAUGAGUAAACCGUUUUACCCUCCAGGCAUGCUGAUCCAAAAUCAAUAACUUUCACUGCUGCAGCGGUUGCGACACUGUAAAUUCAUCUUAGACUGUCAAGCUAAAAGUAUUCUUUAAAAUAGUGGACCAAAACCUAAAAAUGGAAAACCCAAUGCUACCUCACCUGGGGGCCAAGAGAAUAUUUUCUGGUUUUAGAUCACAAUGAAUUAUGCCAGCAUCUCGCAUCACAACCAUGGCAUCCAAUAUCUAAAAGCAUAAACAAACAAAAUUUAGUAACAAAGAAGUACUAAAUUGGCAUUCAUACAAUAAAAUAACAGAUAUAUCACCUGUUUUGAGAAGGCCCGCACAUAUUUCACUUUCAGACCUCUUAAGUGGUUCCUUUUCAGUAGUUCAUACCUGAAAUGAGAGUUUAAAGUGCAGUUCGAACAAAAAACUAAUCAAUGGACAAAGCUAUUGGGUAAAAAGCUUUUACAAGAUCAGCUUACAGGUUUUGCCCAAGCAUUUCGAAGGCUAUGCACAGGUGAUUUUGAAAUGAGAGAUAAUCGAGCAUACGGACAAUGUUAUGCUUAUCAUCAGGAUCAAAUUUCUGGUUUAACUGCAAAUACAUCCACAAUUGUAAUGGUGAGUCACCACACAUACUGAGUGAAAUGAAGUUCCUAAUGGACUAUCAUACCGUUCUUAACAGUGAAACCUCCAUGAUAGCUUGAUGGUAAAAUGCAGGCUGGUUUUUUAUCACCUUCACAGCAACAUAGUCAUUAGUUUCUGUGUCCCAGCAUUUGACAACUUGACCAAACGUUCCCUGGCCAAGCAUUUCCUUGACGAUAAACCUGAGUCCCAAAAUAACAAGGUACAUUUCAAUACUAUGAAACAGGCGAAUAUGGCACAUUGAAUGCAAGUCGUAGAAGAGUAACCUUCGGUUUGACAUCUUAUUAACCAAUUCUAGGUUGACAUACAAUAUGAGGUCCCAAUUUGCAUUGUCAAGUCCAUCGUUGUGGGCAGGGAUAGAAGGACUGGUGAGAAAGCGUUUUGGGAUGUUCUCAUCUGAGUACUUAAAUGUAGGAUCACACUGUUGAUAUGUCUGAAUGAUGCCUGCUGUUAAUCUUGCAACAAACUGCAUGGUAAAAAGAGUUAGCCAACAACAGAACAUCAGAGUUUCAAUGGGCUUGAGGAGUGAGGAUCAUAUCAUACGAAAAGAGGAAUUGCAACAAGAGGGCAGAACAUUAGUGUACAUACACAUAAUAAGGAAGAAAACUCAUCAAACAGAAACCCAUAAAGAUGUUUUGUGGAGUAUGAUGUUGGAUUGGUCUACCUCAAACACUCAUCGAAUUUGGAAAGAGCAGAACUACCCAAAACAUUCCUGAGCUAAACAGUAGCAAGGAAUAUGCUAAAGCAACUAGAGGCAAAGGACUAUAUCCCAAAGCAUUCUUAUUAGAUGCUAAAAGGUAGCUAAGCAUUGGAAUUCUUUUGCUCUCAAAUUGAGACCACCCUGUGAUUGUACAAAAUGAGACAUACAGUUUAAUUUGGCACCACAGCAGCACAAGAGUUCACCAACAAACCAGAAAACACUACCAUCUUCCAUGAAAUUCUCAGUCUAAACCAGUCAGCAGCACAAAGAAGAAGGAAUUCAGCUACACCAGUAUCCUACUUCCUUGCAAUUCCAUGAAUUCGAUAACCGAAGCAACAGAGCAAGGGGAAGGAGACCAAGCCGUACCGGUUUCCGCCUGACGCCAUGAAGGCUGCUGACGCGGGAAGCAGCCCCAUUGCCCGAGGCCGACGGGGUCGCCUCCUGCGACCGCCCAGACGCGGUGGCCGCCGCAAAACGGCGGAACGCCGUGGCCUCGCUGGGCGCCCACGGCGGAGCCGCGUCCUCCUGCCUGCCGCCACUCUCCUCCAUAACCAACCAGCUCCUCCUCAGCUCUCACUGGCGCUCGGGGAGAUCUCCUGCCCGCCGCGCAGCACCCCGCCCACCACCACCUCCAAUCGCGACGAUCACAGCGUCCGCUGGAGCAGCCAAGCAGCCGCCGGAGGAAUCCAGCUCCAUCCCUAUGCUGCUGCGGCGGCGGCUGCCAUCCCAAUGCUCCCCGAUCCGACUCCUCCCCUCUCCUCCGGCGGGUGCGAUGGGGUCAAUCGGAAUUGGGGACGGCCAAGCCGGCGGGGGCGGAUAACGACUACAGGUUGGACUGGCCUGGACGCCGGAUUCAGGGGGAUCCCUUCGCAGGGUUAGGGAUUUGGGAUUGGGGGGAGGAACGCGGCGGCGUUGGGGGAGGAUGGGCGAGCGAAUCAACCACAAUCGCAGCAGGGGCCAAUCCCAAUCCCCUUCCUCGAUUUCUUCGGUUUCUUCCUUCCUCGCCUCUCUCUCCGCCCGUAUUUCCUCCUCCCCCUCUCUUUCCUUGCGGGAAAGAUAUACUUCCAGAUUUAAUUAGCUGCGAACCCGAUUUGAUAAAUAAUUAGCGAGGUGAUAAUACGAGCUAGCCGCGCCUAAAAUACCUAGAAAGUGCCUUAUUUUAUUCCUGCUGACCGCGCCGUUCUCUCGCCUGUGUACCUGUACCCAUGUGCCGUGCCGAUGUGUCCCUCCAUCUCUGCGGGUGGACCCGGGCGAAUCUGCGGUCAGGGACGGGGACGAGCCCGUGGGCGAUCCAACGGCGGGCGGGGCGCGAGCGCGAGCUGGGAAACGGCGGGGGAUGGGUGGCCCCCGCGUGUCAUGGGCGUGGAGCUCACGUGACGGAGGGUGGUGGCGCCCGAGGGCCACGUAGAGCUGCGUGGAGCCCGCGUGCCAUUGACGUGCGCGGUAGGGGAUGCCACCGUUGCCGCCUGCCUGCGCGCGCUCUCCCGGGAAACUGACCAGGUGCGGUGCACCGGCAAAAACGUCUAGGAGAAAGCUUUCUCGAUGGUGUCUAUCCGUCUAUUUCAGCACAUGGCAAUGAUGAGUGACGCAAGACGCUAGAAACAAAACACGGCAACAGGCGUGCCAUGCAAACAUGUACCGGAUAAAAAAUACUGUUUGGUGGCUGAUAAGCUGGCUGAUAAGAUGAAGCGAACAGAGAUUUUAAGUUACGUCCUACGAGGACACUGUUGCAGCCUGCAGGUAACAGUGUGCUCCUCUCUUCUUCGUCUUUUUGACAGUGCGCAUGUGUUAGACGAGAUGAAAAUAACGAGGAGUGAAUUUUUUGUGUCCGCCUGCGUGCCUGAGGUUGUCAUUAACAGCUCAGUAACAAUGAUAGUCAUCGAGAAGAAAAGAAAACAAAUACAACAAACGGAGAAGGGCCUCCAGUGGUAGAAGCAAGGUGAGAGCCGUGAGCCUUGCGGUUUUGUAGCGGCUCUCGAGAGCAUGAUGAUGGCGGCAAGGCGAGCAUGUAUGAAGCUGCGCGACGGCAAGGCCAGCACAGAUCGAUGCCAGCAUCAAUGCGCUAGGCCAACACCAAGCUAGUCAAUGCAACAUGUAUCCUUUUUCUUUAAGAACAGUGUAGGAGAUUUAACUUGCAAAAGAUUAUAUUUGUUUUGGGAUGGAUUAGAAGGAACAAUUAGCAAUAGGGUUUGAUUAUGCUAGAUGGAUCGUCGGGCAGGCAACAUUAUAUGCGAGGAAGAAAGCCAAUAGAAGUGCUUAAUCGGUUGAAGACUAAAGAGACAUGUGUGACUGAGUUGAACACGCUUGCAUGCAAGCAGUCAGACAAAUUAGAGGCAUACAGGCAUGCAGCAGAUAUGCGCUGGUCAUUGGGUGCUUCAAAAUUUCUCAGGAGGAAGGGGGCCAUUACCCUCUACGGUCAUAACGUAGCUCCGCCAAUGCCCGUAGCUGCUUAUCCUGAUCAAAUCGAAGCAUAUCAUUGUGUUUGGUUUCCUUGCCAUAUUAUUUGGGGACUCAUGCAAGCAAGAUUUUCCUUCCUAAAGUGACUGAGCCAAGAAAAAAAAACGCUCUUCGCGGCUGGCUAGACGAAGCUCGCCUGGCAAAGCAAGGCUAUAGGCAAGGCGGCCUCCACAAUCAAACUUACCAAAAAAUUUCAUUCUCAUAUCACUAGGUCAGAGGAUAACCCCAUGCUGAGCGCUAAGAAAUCAAUAUGUUUGCCCAUUAUACAUUUGCACCAAAAGAAAAAUUGGCAUCGUAACUCAAAUUUUUAGUUAUUUGUCACAACAAAGUAGACGGCAUCAUAUUUCAUGAAAGUAUACACAUUUUACCGGGGAAUACCAAAUCAAUGUAUUAAGUAUUUUAUGAUGGAUAUAAUAAAUUUGAUUUGAUUUCUAUAGAUGUUAGUGAAUUUCCAUAUGAACUCGGUCAAAAAUAGAGAAAUUUGACAUAAACAAACUAAACUAACUAAUAUUUUAGAAUGAGAAAUAUCCAUUAAACCUUAUAUAUGCUGCAUCUAUUUAUGUAUUUGUAUCUAUAAAUUUAUGCAACUUAUGAAUUGGAAUGUGUUAUUUGGCGAAUUAUUCUGCCUUUUACUUGCAAAAAAAACUUGAGUCCAUGGCAAUUGCUGGUUGUCUACAUGACCAUCAUUCAACCUUUUUUCUCUUUAGGCCCACAAUGGAGAGUCCGGUCCAGCCAAUGCUUGGGCACCAGCCCGCACCCAGACUGCAAUUCUCGGGUGAGGGAAGGGGCGCCGGGAACCUCUCGCCUUCGCUGGCGCCGCCGGCUCUCAGCACCAGCAGCACCGGAACGCGGCGGCGGCCACCCGCGCGGCACGCCGCCGCUGCCGCGGUACGAGGAGCCCAAACGCCGGCACCAGCUUCGCUUUUCCCGUACAGGCGCGUUGCGAAAAGCUCCCCCGCAUGCCUUUGGUCUGAAAAGCCUCCGUAUGCGGCAUCCCCUGCUCGGCACAUCUCUCGGCGAAGCAUCUCCUCCUGGAGCUAGAGAACCCCAGAGCCCUAGCGCAAGCCUCGGGCUCCAGAUCCCGGCUCUAGCCAUGUCGGCCUGGAGGCAAGCGUGGCAGUUCGCGGCCGCGCUGGUCUUCUUCCACGGCUCCGAGUACGUGCUCGCCGCCGCUUUCCACGGCCGCCGGAACGUCACCGCCACAUGUGAGUGCGCCAUGACUCGAUCUCUCUUGUGAUUCGAGCGUAAUUUGGACUGUGCUCGUGAAAUUUACUAGAUUUGAAAGUGGUGUGUCGAGUCAUCGAGUGAUUCCUAAAUCGCAACUCAGUUUCAUUACUAGUCUAGCGAUCCACUGGGUUGAAGCAAACCUGCGCGAGUAGGAUGCGCCAAUUGAACUGUGCUCGUGAAAUUUACUAGAAUUUGAAAGUGUCAAUGAGCGAUUACUUAAUUUUGCAGCUCAGUUCCGUUACCAGAUUCUAGCGCUUCACUGAGUAGUUGAAGCAAAUCCCUGUGCCAAUAUGUCUCGGCAAUUUCUCGCUUGGCUUUGAACUGACCUUUUGUUGUCUGUAUUCUGUUUAAUUUGACAUAAACAAGCUACCAAGUGUUAAUGUGUUAUACCCUAGUGAGUUCAGAAAAUGAGGAAUAUUUCGCAAUGGGCCAGGAUUUGUUUAAAGCACAAAAAUGGGCAAGUAUGAUCUAAGCGCAUCAAUGUAGUGGGUUUUCACAAAUGAAACCAUUAAAUGUGUUUAAUUGUAUAAAUUGAAUAGUUAAUGUUAACUGGGCUUCAGCAGCUUGCAUUCGUCCAGCUCAUGUAGUAUGGGAUCACACCAUAGUUUCCUUCAAAAACAGGGAGUAGGAUAAAACAGACAUUCAUGGUUCUCAUUUCAAAACACUAUGACAUCAGAAAUAAUUCCUGAAAAAGAACUUUAGCAUGACGCUGCUUUUGUUUUAAACUGCCCAUCGCAUAAAUCCCGGUUCCUUCGGCGAUGAAUAUAGGAAGAGUUCUCAAAGUUUUGCUGGUCUUUUGUGGACAAAUUGUCCAACCCUCCUAAAACGGAGGAUGAAUCGAUGUAUUUAAAUUAUUUAAAUAACAUGGCCAGAACCACUGAUUUGCAAUUGGUCACUGAUCAAACAGCAUAUGAAAAGGCAUCAGGCACACCUAUGUUGAUACUGGCGAUUGUUAGUUCUUCUUUUUGUCCUUAAUUCUUACAAUUGAGAUUGGACUUUACAUUAUCCUAACUUUAUUUUUGGCAGUGUUAUUAGUAAUAAAGUUACUUCUUGCGCAGCACUUCUUAUCAGCAAGCAGUAUGUAUUGGCAAUGAGCUUCGCAAUGCUGGAACAUCUGACAGAAAUCCUUAUCUUCCCGGAAAUAAAGGAGUACUGGUUUAUCAGUAAUAUUGGCCUUCUAAUGGUGCUUAUCGGUGAAAUUGUCCGUAAAGUUGCUGUUGUGACAGCUGGGCGUGCCUUCACGCAUGUUAUAAGAAUUUAUCAUGAAGAUCAGCAUCAGUUGGUUACCCAUGGGGUGUAUAGGUAAAAGAUUCCUUUUUUCAAGAUAUCCGACAUUAUUGUGUUACUUUGCACUAUGAAUAUUUGACUGUUUCAUUUGCUAAAUAUCCUGCUUAACGAUACAGGUUUAUGCGCCAUCCUGGGUAUUCUGGUUUUCUUAUAUGGGCAGUAGGAACCCAGGUUAUGCUCUGUAAUCCAGUAUCAACAGUUGCAUUCAUUUUGGUGCUGUGGCGAUUCUUUUCAAAACGGAUACCGUAUCCUGCUGAAACUUGUGUUUCCCUUGCUUAUGUUCUAGGCUCUCUGUCUUGAUUAUCGACCUUUUCAACCUUCUAAUUGUUUUCACCAUCUGCUGAAUAUGAACAUCUUCAUGAAAAGAGUAAAAUCAGUCCCCCUUUUUUCCAUGUGAUUCCUUCACUCAGAGCAGGUAUGAAGAAUUUUUCUUGAGGCAAUUCUUUGGCUCUGAAUACGAAGAAUAUGCGCGGAGAGUGCACUCUGGCUUACCAUUUAUUAAGUGAGAGCAUCACACUUGCAAAGUAUGUGCCUGAAUCAUUGACUUUUAAGUUUUCAUUUGAUACCAUGUGCUUCAAAUUUAAGAUCUAACUAAUUGUUGUAUCACAUCUCUUUAGUAGUCAAACCUCAAGGUAGUGCAUAUAGCACUGGUGAAUACAUGCUUUCUCUCAUAUAAGAAAGAAAAGUUGAACAAUUAACAUGUCAUAGUUCUGUUGUUUUUCUUAGAAUAACACGAGCAAUUUUUUGUGGUUUUUGAGUCCUUACCCAUAAUCAUGGCUAUGUUUGUGCGCAAUAACUUCUCACAACUAUAUUUUCACAUUUAGAGUGUUUUUUUGCAAUGUUUCUGAAAGCAUGUAGUUCAUGACCGAACCUAGGCUUGUGGAUUGAUAUCUCUCAAUUUCAGUUUGCACUUGGCUUCUGUAGCAGAGACAGCUCAUAAUUUGUUUUCUACAUUUAUCGUUACUCUGAAGAAAAAUAUUUACAUGAUCCACUUGUAAGAUCUCAAAUAAAGUAAUAUUCAAAUGAGUGUGCCAUGAUCUGCACUUCAGACCUUCAGUAAACAUGUGUUACAGUCUUUGUGUGGUGGCCAUUAGCAAAAAAAAAAAUUUCUUGUUCUUCGUUAAAUGGACGUGAAUCUGGGAACAUGAUAUUGAUAUGUAUGCUUGAUUUUUGGUAUAGGUGUGCUGCCUCUUGCUGUUGUCACAUUGAUAUGUCAAAGUAAAGCAUCAAACAAUAUGAAAUCAAGAGAUAACAAAGAAAGGAGCCAUGAGAUGGAUCUCAUACAAUACAAGACAAAUCAGAAAUUUAUAGUCUGUAGUCAAACAGAUGAGUCAUUCAUCAGCUCAUAGAUCUUGUGCAAAUUUUGAGCUGUAACUCAAGCUUUUUUCCACCUUCAUAGUGAUGUUCACUCACAGCUACAACUUGUGGAAGCUCCCGCUUCAUUAGAUUUGAGCUGGACAGUUUAAGGUAAUGUUUACAAUUUGUUGUUCUUAACACCACUUUGUCUUGUGUGCGAAGCAUAUACUUCGAAUGUGCUGCUUAUCUUUGGACCGACAUGUUGAAGAAACUUCCAUAGAAUCUGAAAAUGCUGCAGUUUUUUCCCUGUGGUACACAGGCACACAGCUAAAAGUCGAACAAUGUAAAUUAGCCAAUGUAAAAGCCUAGGAAUGUGAACAAUCUGGAAAAGUGCCUUAUUCAGCCAAUAGAAACCCUUGGAAGUUGCCUGGCUAUUGGAAGAAUCCUAUUCUCUCAAGCGGUUGCAGGAAGUCAACAGCAGGAACCUAGCAAGGCCGCGCGCAAGGCUUGGACGCUUGGUUUGGUCGGAAAGCACCCGUGCAACGUGCAUCCAUCCUACCAGUCGGUCCACACUGAGCCACAAUGUUUGAGCUGAUGCCUGAUCCAAGUUUGUGUAUAGCUAAAAUUCGAAUGGAUUUGUUCUAAUUGCACCUAAACUUCAGCACAUUCUUUUAGCCUGCACCCCCAACUAAAUUAUUUUGAUGCAAAUGCUAUUUUUUAAGGAUAAGACUUCCUACAACUAACCCCCUAAAAUCUCUCAAAAAAUCAUAAAAAGCGUGCCACUCGUCUUCGGUCUUCCUGCUGCGCGCUUAUAAAUACUUCUCCCACCUUUCCUCUCUCUACCAGUCCACUCUCGCUCCGACUCUCACGCUCUCUCGCCGGCCGCAGCAGUCUAGCAACUAACUUGCCGUUAAGUGAGCCGGUGAGGACAUGGCCGCCGCCACGUCGUCGUCGUCUCCGCCAACGCCGCAGCGUUCGUCGUCCGUGGAGCGCACGAAGGGACCCACUGGCCUCGAGAAGAUCGUGCUCCGCGAGGCGCGCGGCUGGUCCGCGGAGGUAACCAAUUCAAUCGCCUCCAACUUCCUUCUUUUCCAGGUCGAUUUUGGGGGGCGCAUUCGCGCGAAUUUCAUAGAGGCUUGGAGCGAUCUGCGUAGAGAGUGUGCAGUUUGCCGAGGGGAUUUCACUUUUUUAAUCAGAUGAUUUAGCGGUGCCAUCUUUCUAGUAGGUGGAUCAUUCAUGAGUGUUUUUUAUGGCUAAUUUUUGCGACUAUUCCACCGAGAAAAGGGAUGUUGUGCUUUGGUCAUGCAUCGCUGUGACAUUUAUUUACAACUCGAUAUGUGGACUGUGAAAAGUGAUGGUGAAAGAUUUCAAAUAUUAUGAGGGCAAUCGCCUCUUGGAAUCUAGUGGCGGACGACGCACCGACUAUGCAACUUGAAAGGGAAAAGGGCCUAGGCUAUGCCCUUUCGUUUUCAAGAUGGAUGAUCCUCAGGUUGCUGGAAUUUGGUCAGUACACAUUUGAUGGCCUGUAGGAUAGAAGGUGCUAGACUUCUUGACUGCAGAGGAUAGGAUAGCAACUUUUUUCAUGAUAGGAUGGAGGAACCGCGGUGAAUUUGCGUUUUUAGUUCUAGCGUGUUUGGCUGCGUGGCCAUAGACCAUGAUUAAUUAAGAUUAAUAUGAUUAUGUGUUAUGCUUGUAUUGGUGAAGUUGCCCAGCACCAAAUGCAUAUCGUAUCAAAGCUCGUAACAAAACUUUGCUAUGAUCUGUGGAACUAGCAUCGCAGAGGAGGUAAGCCAUGAUGAGUAGUUGAGCCUUUAGUGCCAUCCAGCUGUUUAGAUAAAUCUUUUGUUUUCUAAGCCUUGACACACUAAUUAGUUAACUAUUUUAGUUUAAGGAGGCUCCAAACUUCUGCCAGUGGGUGUCAAAUGUCGUUCUAGCUGGCGUUUUCUUCUCCAUCUUUUUUUUUUAUCCAGGUCUGUAAGUGUAGUAGUGUACCCAUGUACCAAAAGCCAAAAGGUAAAUCCUUAUGGGGAUUUGCACGGGACCUACAUGAAUUAUGUUGUCUUUUGUGCUAGAUCAGGCUUUCAAUCUAGUAGGCUGUAGCUAAUCAAUUAUGUUGUCUUUUGCAAGGUCCAUUUAUACGGAGGUCAAGUAACCUCUUGGAAGAAUGACCAUGGAGAUGAGUUACUUUUUGUCAGCAGCAAGGUGCAGAAGCAUUCAAGAUGUCAUGGAUGACCUCAUUGGUUAAUAUCUUAAUAUAUUAGUAUACCGUAGAGGAAAAAGAACUUGCAUGAGAAGCAUGGGCGCUGCAUCCCUAUCAUCCUUCUCCAUACCAAAUAAUUUUGUCAUUAAUUAGAUCUGAUCCGAACAUAUUUUCACCAUAUUCUCAUUUUAUAAUGAGUCCUUUUGAAAUAACUACAAACUGCCGCUUCAUUUUCUCAUGUAUUUGUGAUCCUAGCCCUUUUACUCUCUAAUAGUUUCUUUUUCAUGAACCGAUGAUUAGCCCAACUAAAUAGGAGACCCUAGGCACUGUUUAAAGAAAUUUGUUUGAUUAUUUAUUUUUCUAUGUGUUUCUGCACUAAUAGUAGCAUCUCUUCCUUUUCAGGCCAUUUUCAAGCCUCCAAAAGCAAUCCGUGGUGGAAUACCUAUUUGCUUUCCCCAAGUAUGGCAAGUUCAUCUUUAUUUUCAUAAAUCCAUGCUAAAAGAAAACUGGCUGCUUGAAUUUUAAAAAUUGAAAUGGACCAUUUAUAUGCAGUUUGGAACACAAGGAAAUCUUGAGAAACAUGGAUUUGCAAGGAACCGUUUCUGGGCUAUUGAUGAUAAUCCUCCACCUUUUCCAGUAAACACUGCUAUAAAAACUUUCGCUGAUCUCAUUCUGAAGCCUUCUGAAGAAGAUCUCAAGGUUUGGCCUCACAGGUUCGUGUUAGACCAUCCUUUGAUUCGUGUUGUUUUUCUUUUAUGCAGUACAUGUCUGAUUCUGCUCCUCAUCUAUCUUUGAAUAAAUUAUGACUUGCAGCUUUGAAUUUCGAUUAAGAGUUGCUCUUGCACCUGGAGGAGAUUUGAUUCUCACUUCUCGAAUAAGAAACACCAACAUUGAUGGAAGAACUUUCUCAUUUACAUUUGCAUAUCAUACAUACUUGUCUGUAUCAGACAUAAGGUAUGUACCCUUUUUUAAUCAAUUGCUUCCCCCUUUUUCUCAGAUUUCCAUUCAGAUAUUGUAAACUGAAACUUCUCCAAGAGUCUGGAACUGGAAUUGUGGACCUUUCAUCCGUGACUUUCCAGUGAUAUGUGUUCAAUUUACUUGUAAAUGCCUUUGAUAGGCUCAUAUGUAUUAUGCUUGUGGCAUUUGUAUUGUACCGAGCUUGGCUAAUGCAAAACCUGUUUAGAAGCUGCUGGCAAGCACGCUGGUUUUAUACAACAGUUUUAAUGCAGGCACACACCAAACUUUUAGAUCACAGGCGACAGUUCCUGUACUUUAGUUCUAUAGGUAAGGAGUGAGCUGAAGUUGGAGAGAAUAGGCAUUAACAGACAUUUAAUAUCAUAUACUUCUUGUCAAUUAAAGCACAUAUCUGUUCAAACUGUUGAGAGUUCAAAUGGUUUUCGCUUGCUUACUCAAGCCACAAAUAUCCCCAGUGAAAUACGCGUUGAAGGGCUGGAGACAUUGGACUACUUUGACAACCUGAACGAGAAAGAACGAUUCACAGAACAAGGAGAUGCAAUUGUGUUUGAAGCAGAGGUAACCAAACUAGUUCAAUGUCACAUGUGAAACUAGAUUGCUGAUUUUUAAGUAUUUUUUUGUGGUGAAGGUUGACAAAAUAUAUCUAGACGCACCAUCAAAAAUUGCAAUCAUUGAUCAUGAGAAGAAAAGAACAUAUGUUUUACGGAAAGAUGGAC
rnacentral:lncRNA from 1 species